CCUACGGGGGGCAGCAGUGAGGAAUAUUGGUCAAUGGGCGUAAGCCUGAACCAGCCAAGUCGCGUGAGGGAUGAAGGUUCUAUGGUUCGUAAACUUCUUUUAUAAGGGAAUAAAGUGUGGGACGUGUCCUGUUUUGUAUGUACCUUAUGAAUAAGGAUCGGCUAACUCCGUGCCAGCAGCCGCGGUAAUACGGAGGAUACGAGCGUUAUCCGGAUUUAUUGGGUUUAAAGGGUGCGUAGGCGGACUUUUAAGUCAUCGGUGAAAGCCUGGGGCUCAACCUUUGAAUUGCCGUUGAAACUGGGAGGCUUGAGUAUGUUUGAGGCAGGCGGAAUGCGUGGUGUAGCGGUGAAAUGCUUAGAUAUCACGCAGAACCCCGAUUGCGAAGGCAGCCUGCCAAGCCAUGACUGACGCUGAUGCACGAAAGCGUGGGGAUCAAACAGGAUUAGAUACCCUUGUAGUC
rnacentral:rRNA from 1 species